CCAACAGGGAUUGCCUCAGUAACGGCGAGUGAAGCGGCAACAGCUCAAAUUUGAAAUCUGGCCCCCCGGCCCGAGUUGUAAUUUGCAGAGGAUGCUUCGGGCGCGGUGCCUUCCAAGUCCCCUGGAACGGGGCGCCAUAGAGGGUGAGAGCCCCGUCUGGUUGGCCGCCAAGCCUGUGUGAAGCUCCUUCGACGAGUCGAGUAGUUUGGGAAUGCUGCUCUAAACGGGAGGUAGACCCCUUCUAAAGCUAAAUACCGGCCAGAGACCGAUAGCGCACAAGUAGAGUGAUCGAAAGAUGAAAAGCACUUUGAAAAGAGGGUUAAACAGUACGUGAAAUUGUUGAAAGGGAAGCGCUUGUGACCAGACGUGCGCCGGGUGUUCAGCGGGCGUUUUCGCCCGUGCAUUCGCCCCGGCGCAGGCCAGCGUCGGUUCGGGCGGGGGGACAAAGGCGCCAGGAACGUAGCUCCCCCGGGAGUGUUAUAGCCUGGCGCGCCAUGCCCCCGCCCGGACCGAGGUUCGCGCUCCGCAAGGACGCUGGCGUAAUGGUCCCCAGCGGCCCGUCUUGAAACACGGACCAAGGAGUCGAGGUUUUACGCGAGUGUCUGGGUGUCAAACCCGCACGCGAAAUGAAAGUGAACGCAGGUGGGAGCUUCGGCGCACCACCGACCGAUCCUGAUGUUCUCGGAUGGAUUUGAGUAGGAGCGUGGGGCCUCGGACCCGAAAGAUGGUGAACUAUACUUGGAUAGGGUGAAGCCAGAGGAAACUCUGGUGGAGGCUCGCAGCGGUUCUGACGUGCAAAUCGAUCGUCAAAUCUGAGUAUGGGGGCGAAAGACUAAUCGAACCAU
rnacentral:rRNA from 1 species